rnacentral:rRNA from 1 species
UACAGAGGGGGCAAGCGUUGUUCGGAAUUACUGGGCGUAAAGGGCGCGUAGGCGGCCGCCUAAGUCAGACGUGAAAUCCCUCGGCUCAACCGGGGAACUGCGUGUGAUACUGGGUGGCUUGAAUCCGGGAGAGGGAUGCGGAAUUCCAGGUGUAGCGGUGAAAUGCGUAGAUAUCUGGAGGAACACCGGUGGCGAAGGCGGCAUCCUGGACCGGCAUUGACGCUGAGGCGCGAAAGCCAGGGGAGCAAACGGG